CAAAGUAGAGCUUGUUAGUAUAGCGUCCCACUUACGUUGGGGAGAAUUGUCGUGCAAAUCGACUAUAUUUUGA
rnacentral:tRNA from 1 species